AAAUGUUGUGGAAAUAAAAUGUCUUCAAAUACAAUAUUAAAAAAUAUUUACAUGUUAUCAGUUGUUAUUAAAACUCAUCAUUGGUUGGAACACACAAAAGAUGGCAUUUACUUCAGAGGUGU